ensembl:snRNA
GUGUUGUAUAAAAGGAGAGAGGGUUAGCGCUCCCCUUGACAAGGAUGGAAGAGGCUCUCGGGCCUGACAACAUGCAUACGGUUAAGGCAUUGCCACCUACUUCCUGGCAUCUAACCACUGUUUUUC